GCUAUUUUGGCAGAAAAGUGCUAUGGAUUUAGGUUCCAUCUAUGUGAGUGUUUAUCUUACAGAUAGUA
rnacentral:tRNA from 1 species